GAGGGCACAGCUCAGGGGUAGAGCGCUUGCUUACCAUGCACGAGGUUCUGGGUUCAAUCCCCAGCACCUCCU
rnacentral:tRNA from 1 species